rnacentral:rRNA from 1 species
CCUACGGGUGGCAGCAGUGAGGAAUAUUGGUCAAUGGACGAGAGUCUGAAUCAGCCAAGUAGCGUGAAGGAUGACUGCCCUACGGGUUGUAAACUUCUUUUAUAUGGGAAUAAAGUGUUCCACGUGUGGGAUUUUGUAUGUACCAUAUGAAUAAGGAUCGGCUAACUCCGUGCCAGCAGCCGCGGUAAUACGGAGGAUCCGAGCGUUAUCCGGAUUUAUUGGGUUUAAAGGGAGCGUAGGUGGAUUGUUAAGUCAGUUGUGAAAGUUUGCGGCUCAACCGUAAAAUUGCAAUUGAAACUGGCAGUCUUGAGUACAGUAGAGGUGGGCGGAAUUCGUGGUGUAGCGGUGAAAUGCUUAGAUAUCACGAAGAACUCCGAUUGCGAAGGCAGCUUACUGGACUGCAACUGACAUUGAGGCUCGAAAGUGUGGGUAUCAAACAGGAUUAGAUACCCCGGUAGUC